rnacentral:rRNA from 2 species
UUUGGUUAAGUUAGAAAGGGCGCACGGUGGAUGCCUUGACACUAGGAGUCGAUGAAGGACGGGACUAACGCCGAUAUGCUUCGGGGAGCUGUAAGUAAGCUUUGAUCCGAAGAUUUCCGAAUGGGGAAACCCACCAUACGUAAUGGUAUGGUAUCCUUACCUGAAUACAUAGGGUAAGGAAGACAGACCCAGGGAACUGAAACAUCUAAGUACCUGGAGGAAGAGAAAGCAAAUGCGAUUUCCUGAGUAGCGGCGAGCGAAACGGAACAUAGCCCAAACCAAGAGGCUUGCCUCUUGGGGUUGUAGGACAUUCUAUACGGAGUUACAAAGGAACGAGGUAGACGAAGCGACCUGGAAAGGUCCGUCGUAGAGGGUAACAACCCCGUAGUCGAAACUUCGUUCUCUCUUGAAUGUAUCCUGAGUACGGCGGAACACGUGAAAUUCCGUCGGAAUCUGGGAGGACCAUCUCCCAAGGCUAAAUACUCCCUAGUGAUCGAUAGUGAACCAGUACCGUGAGGGAAAGGUGAAAAGCACCCCGGAAGGGGAGUGAAAGAGAUCCUGAAACCGUGUGCCUACAAAUAGUCAGAGCCCGUUAAUGGGUGAUGGCGUGCCUUUUGUAGAAUGAACCGGCGAGUUACGAUCCCGUGCGAGGUUAAGCUGAAGAGGCGGAGCCGCAGCGAAAGCGAGUCUGAAUAGGGCGUUUAGUACGUGGUCGUAGACCCGAAACCAGGUGAUCUACCCAUGUCCAGGGUGAAGUUCAGGUAACACUGAAUGGAGGCCCGAACCCACGCACGUUGAAAAGUGCGGGGAUGAGGUGUGGGUAGCGGAGAAAUUCCAAUCGAACCUGGAGAUAGCUGGUUCUCCCCGAAAUAGCUUUAGGGCUAGCCUUAAGUGUAAGAGUCUUGGAGGUAGAGCACUGAUUGGACUAGGGGUCCUCAUCGGAUUACCGAAUUCAGUCAAACUCCGAAUGCCAAUGACUUAUCCUUAGGAGUCAGACUGCGAGUGAUAAGAUCCGUAGUCAAAAGGGAAACAGCCCAGACCGCCAGCUAAGGUCCCAAAGUGUGUAUUAAGUGGAAAAGGAUGUGGAGUUGCUUAGACAACUAGGAUGUUGGCUUAGAAGCAGCCACCAUUUAAAGAGUGCGUAAUAGCUCACUAGUCGAGUGACUCUGCGCCGAAAAUGUACCGGGGCUAAAUACACCACCGAAGCUGCGGAUUGAUACCAAUGGUAUCAGUGGUAGGGGAGCGUUCUAAGGACAGUGAAGUCAGACCGUAAGGACUGGUGGAGUGCUUAGAAGUGAGAAUGCCGGUAUGAGUAGCGAAAGACGGGUGAGAAUCCCGUCCACCGAAUGCCUAAGGUUUCCUGAGGAAGGCUCGUCCGCUCAGGGUUAGUCAGGACCUAAGCCGAGGCCGACAGGCGUAGGCGAUGGACAACAGGUUGAUAUUCCUGUACCACCUCUUUAUCGUUUGAGCAAUGGAGGGACGCAGAAGGAUAGAAGAAGCGUGCGAUUGGUUGUGCACGUCCAAGCAGUUAGGCUGAUAAGUAGGCAAAUCCGCUUAUCGUGAAGGCUGAGCUGUGAUGGGGAAGCUCCUUAUGGAGCGAAGUCUUUGAUUCCCCGCUGCCAAGAAAAGCUUCUAGCGAGAUAAAAGGUGCCUGUACCGCAAACCGACACAGGUAGGCGAGGAGAGAAUCCUAAGGUGUGCGAGAGAACUCUGGUUAAGGAACUCGGCAAAAUGACCCCGUAACUUCGGGAGAAGGGGUGCUUUCUUAACGGAAAGCCGCAGUGAAUAGGCCCAAGCGACUGUUUAGCAAAAACACAGCUCUCUGCGAAGCCGUAAGGCGAAGUAUAGGGGGUGACACCUGCCCGGUGCUGGAAGGUUAAGGAGAGGGGUUAGCGUAAGCGAAGCUCUGAACUGAAGCCCCAGUAAACGGCGGCCGUAACUAUAACGGUCCUAAGGUAGCGAAAUUCCUUGUCGGGUAAGUUCCGACCCGCACGAAAGGUGUAACGAUUUGGGCACUGUCUCAACCAGAGACUCGGUGAAAUUAUAGUACCUGUGAAGAUGCAGGUUACCCGCGACAGGACGGAAAGACCCCGUGGAGCUUUACUGUAGCCUGAUAUUGAAUUUUGGUACAGUUUGUACAGGAUAGGCGGGAGCCAUUGAAACCGGAGCGCUAGCUUCGGUGGAGGCGCUGGUGGGAUACCGCCCUGACUGUAUUGAAAUUCUAACCUACGGGUCUUAUCGACCCGGGAGACAGUGUCAGGUGGGCAGUUUGACUGGGGCGGUCGCCUCCUAAAGUGUAACGGAGGCGCCCAAAGGUUCCCUCAGAAUGGUUGGAAAUCAUUCGUAGAGUGCAAAGGCAUAAGGGAGCUUGACUGCGAGACCUACAAGUCGAGCAGGGACGAAAGUCGGGCUUAGUGAUCCGGUGGUUCCGCAUGGAAGGGCCAUCGCUCAACGGAUAAAAGCUACCCCGGGGAUAACAGGCUUAUCUCCCCCAAGAGUCCACAUCGACGGGGAGGUUUGGCACCUCGAUGUCGGCUCAUCGCAUCCUGGGGCUGUAGUCGGUCCCAAGGGUUGGGCUGUUCGCCCAUUAAAGCGGUACGCGAGCUGGGUUCAGAACGUCGUGAGACAGUUCGGUCCCUAUCCGUCGUGGGCGUAGGAAAUUUGAGAGGAGCUGUCCUUAGUACGAGAGGACCGGGAUGGACGCACCGCUGGUGUACCAGUUGUUCUGCCAAGGGCAUAGCUGGGUAGCUAUGUGCGGAAGGGAUAAGUGCUGAAAGCAUCUAAGCAUGAAGCCCCCCUCAAGAUGAGAUUUCCCAUAGCGUAAGCUAGUAAGAUCCCUGAAAGAUGAUCAGGUUGAUAGGUUCGAGGUGGAAGCAUGGUGACAUGUGGAGCUGACGAAUACUAAUAGAUCGAGGACUUAACCAUAUAA